UCGGCCUGGGAGUGUAAAAAGAGGAAAGAAUCCCCCCAGCAUGUAAGAAUAUCCACAGGAAAAUCUGAAAUCCUGAGAGUAACAGAAAUUGGGUGCAUCUGUCUUCUAGCUAUGGUAUAGUCAAUUUCCAUACCUGAACUCAAGAAUUCUCUGAAGUACUGUGCUUUCUUUAUCUUCUUUUCAGUCUUUUCCAGGAGAGUUCCCAAAGAGGCUCUCAGUAGAUUACUGUAUUUGACCCAUGCUUAUGAAGCAUAAAUGCUAAACUUAGAAGAGACCCAAGAGACCCCCUGGUCCAACCUCCACAUUUUGUAGACGAGGAAACAGAUGCUCCACGUGGGAAAAGGACGUGCCUAAUAUCAGGAAUAUCCCUUGAAGAUAACAGAAAUGAGAGGCUGCUCUCACGUUGCUAUAAGAUAUGGAAUGAGCAGCAGGAUGAGAGGGCUCUUGGGCAGGCAGAGCUGGGAUCACCGAGGGGCAGGAAAAAGACGCAGCAAGUCAAAUGGAAAAAGAGGCUGGGCUUGAACCUGGGCCGGGGGAGGUCAUCUGGAGAACUGAUUGUUCUUUACGGAAGGAAGGAAGGCAACUGGAUCACGGAGCAGAAGAGGAGAGGAAGAAAUCGCACGUACGUGGAGAGCCUGCGUAGGACAGUUUUCUGCAUAAUACUGUGAUUGAUACAGAAAAUUCUGAUAGUCUGCCAAAGGCGAGGACGGAAUCAACGUACAGACUGUAUAACCGGUUCCCACACAGGAAAAAAUUUCCCCCGGUCCGUGCACGCACCCACACCUCACUUAGCAGAUUGUUUUAUAAGUCAUAACAAAGAAGGGCAGUUUUGCAGUCUCGGCUAUCUCAGACGUAUACCAAUUUGUUUUGCCAUUAAUCAGCAGUGUUCACGCUCUAUGGCAGAUGUAGAAUGUUUCUUUAAAAGGACCUCAAACCAGCUCUCUUUCAACCAACAGGAAGAUGGCUGCUCAGGUCUGUGAGAGUAAAGCAACUUCAAAACCUAGGUUUAGGGGCACAAACGCAACUAUUUCAAAAAAGAAAGAGGAAGAUAAAGAUAAUCCCUCCAUUACAACCUGCUAAGAAUGCUCAGAAAAUCAGAAGGACAUUUUUUUUUUUAAAGAAAACUAUAAUGAACGAUCGCCAAAAUCUCUUCACCUUUGAACCCUCAGAAAUCUGGAGAUUAUUCACAUCAGGCAGAGACGCGUCAAAGCUGG